GCUUUUCAGAACCUUGGUGAGGUAUCACCUAACUAUGAGUUCACCUUUAUUCUACUUUAUCUUCUCUUAAUGAACCUGUGUUCAAGUGUGUAAUGUACACCUAUUUCUUUUAGUUUGUAGCUGCAGAAGGUGAUACUUUUGAAACAGGGACAAAAAUAGCAAUCAUUUUGAAGUCAGGUGAAGGUGUAAGCCAUGUAGCUCCAUCGUCGACCAACGCUGAGCCAGCUCCUUCAGAAAAGAAGGCAGACAAGCAAGAGCAUACCACAGAAACUCCUGUUCUUAAGGAGGCACCCAAGGAGAAGCCUAAGGCACCUCCACUACCUCCAUCUAGACCUCGGCCACAGAACCUCAACUUCCUCCAAAGGAAAGGGAAAGAAGAGUUCCAAUGACAAGACUCAAGAACGUUUAAAAGACUCUCAGAAUACUUUUGCGUUGCUGACUACUUUCAAUGAAGUUGAUAUAUGCAACCCUUUUGAGUACGUGAUGAUAUCUUCACAUAUCGAUAUUGGAGCUUAUUAUUGAUAUCAAAAUAUGCUAUAAUAUAUAUAUAUAUAUUUUUGUAUUGU